CUACGGGGGGCUGCAGCAAGGAAUCUUGGGCAAUGGGCGAAAGCCUGACCCAGCGACACCGCGUGAGGGAAGAAGGCCUUCGGGUUGCAAACCUCUUUUCUCGGGGAAGAAUUCUGACGGUACCCGAGGAAUAAGCCUCGGCCAACUACGUGCCAGCAGCCGCGGUAAUACGUAGGAGGCAAACGUUAUUCGGAUUUACUGGGCGUAAAGAGAGCGUAGGCGGUUCCUUAAGUCAGAUGUGAAAUCUUCUGACUCAAUCAGGAGCGGUCAUUUGAUACUGAGGGGCUUGAGAGCAACAGAGGGAAACGGAAUCCCCAGUGUAGCGGUGAAAUGCGUAGAUAUUGGGGAGAACACCAGUGGCGAAGGCGGUUUCCCAGGUUGUUUCCGACGCUGAGGCUCGAAAGCGUGGGGAGCGAAGCGGAUUAGAUACCCUUGUAGUC
rnacentral:rRNA from 1 species